rnacentral:rRNA from 1 species
GCAUAUCAAUAAGCGGAGGAAAAGAAACCAACAGGGAUUGCCCUAGUAACGGCGAGUGAAGCGGCAACAGCUCAAAUUUGAAAUCUGGCUCUUUCAGAGUCCGAGUUGUAAUUUGCAGAGGGCGCUUUGGCUUUGGCAGCGGUCCAAGUUCCUUGGAACAGGACGUCACAGAGGGUGAGAAUCCCGUACGUGGUCGCUAGCUAUUGCCGUGUAAAGCCCCUUCGACGAGUCGAGUUGUUUGGGAAUGCAGCUCUAAAUGGGAGGUAAAUUUCUUCUAAAGCUAAAUAUUGGCCAGAGACCGAUAGCGCACAAGUAGAGUGAUCGAAAGAUGAAAAGCACUUUGGAAAGAGAGUCAAACAGCACGUGAAAUUGUUGAAAGGGAAGCGCUUGCAGCCAGACUUGCUUGCAGUUGCUCAUCCGGGCUUUUGCCCGGUGCACUCUUCUGCAGGCAGGCCAGCAUCAGUUUGGGCGGUGGGAUAAAGGUCUCUGACACGUUCCUUCCUUCGGGUUGGCCAUAUAGGGGAGACGUCAUACCACCAGCCUGGACUGAGGUCCGCGCAUCUGCUAGGAUGCUGGCGUAAUGGCUGUAAGCGGCCCGUCUUGAAACACGGACCAAGGAGUCUAACAUCUAUGCGAGUGUUUGGGUGUCAAGCCCGAGCGCGUAAUGAAAGUGAACGGAGGUGGGAACCCGCAAGGGUGCACCAUCGACCGAUCCUGAAGUUUACGGAAGGAUUUGAGUAAGAGCAUGGCUGUUGGGACCCGAAAGAUGGUGAACUAUGCUUGAAUAGGGUGAAGCCAGAGGAAACUCUGGUGGAGGCUCGCAGCGGUUCUGACGUGCAAAUCGAUCGUCAAAUUUGGGCAUAGGGGCGAAAGACUAAUCGAACUAUCUAGUAGCUGGUCUGCGA